rnacentral:rRNA from 1 species
GACGGAGGAUGCAAGUGUUAUCCGGAAUCACUGGGCGUAAAGCGUCUGUAGGUGGUUUAAUAAGUCAACUGUUAAAUCUUGAGGCUCAACCUCAAAAUCGCAGUCGAAACUAUUAGGCUAGAGUAUAGUAGGGGUAAAGGGAAUUUCCAGUGGAGCGGUGAAAUGCGCAGAUAUCAGGAAGAACACCCGUGGCGAAGGCGGCUCUCUGGGACGGUACUGACGCUGAGACGCGAAAGCGUGGGGAGCGAACAGG